AAAGAACCCCGGAGAGGGGAGUGAAAUAGAAUCUGAAACCGUUUGCGUACAAGCAGUGGGAGCAUGGUUUAGGCUGUGUGACUGCGUACCUUUUGUAUAAUGGGUCAGCGAGUUACUUUCAGUGGCGAGGUUAACUGAAUAAGGGAGCCGUAGAGAAAUCGAGUCUGAAUAGGGCGAUAGUCGCUGGGAGUAGACCCGAAACCGGGCGAUCUAGCCAUGUGCAGGAUGAAGGUUGGGUAACACCAACUGGAGGUCCGAACCGGGUAAUGUUGAAAAAUUAUCGGAUGACGUGUGGCUAGGAGUGAAAGGCUAAUCAAGCCCGGAGAUAGCUGGUUCUCCCCGAAAGCUAUUUAGGUAGCGCCUCGUGAAUGAUUACUGGGGGUAGAGCACUGUUUCGGCUAGGGGGCUGUCAUGGCUUACCAAACCGAUGCAA
rnacentral:rRNA from 1 species